GACGUAGGAGGCGAGCGUUUAUCCGGAUUUAUUGGGCGUAAAGGGCUCGUAGGCGGCUCAGUAAGUCGGGUGUGAAACCUCCAGGCUCAACCUGGAGACGCCACUCGAUACUGCUGUGGCUAGAGUCCGGUAGGGGAGCAUGGAAUUCCUGGUGUAGCGGUGAAAUGCGCAGAGUAUCAGGAGGAACACCGGUGGCGAAGGCGGGUCUCUGGGCCGAUACUGACGCUGAGGAGCGAAAGCGUGGGGAGCGAACAGG
rnacentral:rRNA from 1 species